GUGGGGAAUAUUGCGCAAUGGGGGAAACCCUGACGCAGCGACGCCGUGUGAGGGAAGAAGGCUUUCGGGUCGUAAACCUCUGUCAGAAAGGAAGAACCUCCCGUAUCCGAAUAGGGUGCGGGACUGACGGUACUUUCAAAGGAAGCGCCGGCUAACUCCGUGCCAGCAGCCGCGGUAAUACGGAGGGCGCAAGCGUUAAUCGGAAUCACUGGGCGUAAAGCGCGCGUAGGCCGCUUUGUAAGUCGGGCGUGAAAGCCCUCGGCUCAACCGGGGAACUGCGUUGGAUACUGCGAGGCUUGAGUCCUGGAGAGGGUGGCGGAAUUCCGGGUGUAGGAGUGAAAUCCGUAGAUAUCCGGAGGAACACCGGUGGCGAAGGCGGCCACCUGGACAGGUACUGACGCUGAGGCGCGAAAGCGUGGGGAGCAAACAGGAUUAGAUACCCCUGUAGUCC
rnacentral:rRNA from 1 species